AGGGAAAUCUCGAUUCGCGAUAGCACUCGAUGCCGAGUCCAAGUCCGACCUAUGCAACGCCAGCAAAAUGGACGAACUUGAAUCCCCGAGAACGAAGAGAACAACCUCCCGCACAUCGAACUCCCUCCACGUUUCCAUCGCUUCCAGCUGGAAAGAGCGAUCGAAACCCCCUGGAAAAACUACGACUCGCCGUUUCAGCAAGCAUUUCGUCGCGGCAUCAGGGUUGAAGGUGUCGAAAUAAGGACGCGUGUUCCCC
rnacentral:lncRNA from 1 species